GAUGAACGCUGGCGGCGUGCCUAAUACAUGCAAGUCGAGCGAACAGAUGAGGAGCUUGCUCCUCUGACGUUAGCGGCGGACGGGUGAGUAACACGUGGAUAACCUACCUAUAAGACUGGGAUAACUUCGGGAAACCGGAGCUAAUACCGGAUAAUAUAUUGAACCGCAUGGUUCAAUAGUGAAAGACGGGUUUGCUGUCACUUAUAGAUGGAUCCGCGCCUCAUUAGCUAGUUGGUAAGGUAACGGCUUACCAAGGCAACGAUGCGUAGCCGACCUGAGAGGGUGAUCGGCCACACUGGAACUGAGACACGGUCCAGACUCCUACGGGAGGCAGCAGUAGGGAAUGGUCCGCAAUGGGCGAAAGCCUGACGGAGCAACGCCGCGUGAGUGAUGAAGGUCUUCGGAUCGUAAAACUCUGUUAUUAGGGAAGAACAAAUGUGUAAGUAACUAUGCACGUCUUGACGGUACCUAAUCAGAAAGCCACGGCUAACUACGUG
rnacentral:rRNA from 1 species